UGGUGGCUAGCCUUGGGUGGAACUGCUCAUUUCCAAGUUGCCCUUUGCACACCUGGUUGUCAUCAGCUCAUUGAAGGCUGCAUAUUUAGGACCAGACUGUGAUUCUCAGCCAGUUUGUCUCAGCCUCUGGUGCCUCCUAACUAAAGCUGGAUUCCAACGUGCUCACUGACUGUCCUCUCUCUCACAAAGAGCUCACCUUCAGAUCCCAAACCUUCCCUGACCACCUGCCGACUGAUAGCUCCUGCCCAGUGCUUCUUCGCUUUGCUCCUGCUAAAUUCUUC